CAGGGAACAGAAAUUCAUACACUAUGAACACCAGAAAAAAAUACCCCUGGGUAAUUGAGUCAGCUGACUCAAAUGGUGUAGGGGCCUCAGUUAGAGGACCAAAUUUUGGACUCCUUGGUCUUUCUGCCAAAAGAGUAAUUGCUCAUGUUUAUAGAUGCAAAUGUUUUUGCCAUUUUGGUUCCUAGAAAUGCCCUAGGGAGAUGUUAUUUUUGGUAAGGGGUCUUCCUGCUUCAAGUGUAAUGACUGUGAACAACUAGUUUCAGUAUCUUCUCUAGCAUGCCAGGGUAAAAUGAAGCAAAAUAAAUAGAGGAAGUGCCAUGACCUUUAUUGAGGAUCUACUGGGUGCCAGGCAAAAUGCUUUUUUUUUUUUUUUUUUUUUUUUUGAGACAGGGUCUUGCUCUCUUGCCCAGGCUGGAGUGCAGCAGUGCAAUCUUGGCUGACGGCAAGCUCUGCCUCCCGGGUUCCUGCCAUUCUCCUGCCUCAGCCUCCCAGGUAGCUGGGACUACAGGCGCCCGCCACCACGCCCAGCUUAUUUUGUUUUUGUAUUUUUAGUAGAGAUACAGUUUCAUCGUGUUAGCCAGGAUGGUCUCCAUCUCCUGACCUUGUGAUCCACCCACCUCAGCCUCCCAAAGUACUGGGAUUACAGGUGUGAGCCACUGUGCCUGCCCAGUGCUGCGAUCUCGACUCACUGCAGCUUUCGCUUCCUGGGUUCAAGCGAUUCUUCUGCCUCAGCCUCCUGAGUAGCUGGGAUUACAGGCGUGCACCACCAUACCUGGCUAAUUUUUGUAUUUUUAAUAGAGACAUUAUUUUUAAUGUAUUUUUCCUGUUGGCCAGGCUGGUCUUGAACUCCUGGCCUCAAGCGAUACACCUGCCUCAGCCUCCCAAAGUGCUGGGAUUACAGGUGUGAGCCCCACGCCCGACAAGGUGCAUUUUUAUGUGCUUUUUCUCCUCUGUCUUCUCAACAACCCUGGGGUAAAAGGCCUCAUUUCCACUUUUCCUAUGAGAACAAUAAAGUAGAAAGAGGUAAAAGACUGCCUCUAAGAUCACCCAGCACAGAGCAGGGAUUUGAUUUCAGGUGUGUCUUGUUCCAAACUUAAUAUACUGUGCUGCUGGGGGAAAACAAAGAGCAAAAGGUUCUUAACUGAAGUCAAAGACGACCAAGAAAAUGUAGGCAGAUGUCAGGUCUGAUCAUGUGGAUGCUCAAAUGAUAAACAGACACAUUGAGAGAAAUUGUAUUAAUUAAAUCAUAAAAAUAUGUUCCGCUUUUUGGGGAAUUUACUCCUCCUCCUGGGGUGACCCUUGACAAGACAUUCUGUCUUCCUGUUUUUAAGCAAAAAAAAAAAAAAAAAGUGGGUAGAAGAUGAAAGUUUGAUAUUUCGCUCAUGCAUAGCUUUGUCUCCUUAAUAUAUUUUGUGCUUGCCUGUCAUUUCAGCUUUCUGCUGGCAGACGAAGCUCCUUCAACUGCCAUUCCUACUUCUGACACUCCUCUUGUCCUUUUCAGGACAACUUUAUGCCUAUUGUGCCUUGGGUCUUGAGAAGCAUGUGGUAAAACUGGCCAGUGGUGAUGGCAGGCAUAGCAGGGAAUCAGAUUGAGGGGGGCUGUGUGUAAGGGAGUGGUGACCUUCUUAAGCGGAGAGCUCUUCCAUCAGAGGGCUCCCUAAGGGCAUCUCUGUUCCUAGCCGGGGAGCCGUCACCCCACUUUGUUCUGCUUAGCCUAAGACACGCAACUUUUUCCAGCUUUUACUCUUCGCUGAAUUCUCACGGUGGGGUUGGGGGGAUGUUCAGGCUCAGGAGCGAGGUUGGGGGCCCGGCCCGCUGGGCGCUGUUCACCGGUAGCCCGGACCAGAGCAGGAGUUUCAUCAUUACCUGCUGGGAUAGGUGGGACACAUGUAUUUCCGGGGCCACCCCAGACCUCCCGGAGGAUGCUGAUUGACACUGUCCAGUUUGAGAACUACUGUGUCCAGGGAGCAGAGGCCUCCCCAUAACCCCUUGGGUUGUGGACGUCUGGCCCAGGGCUUCUCUGGGUGAGCGGGGCGGGCAUCAGAGCGCGUGGAACCUGGGGCGGGAGGUCGGGGCAGUGAAGGAGGAGGAGAAGGAGGAGGCGGAGACCGAGGGGGAGGGAGGGGAGGAGGAAGAGGAGGAGGAGUCCCUCGUGGCCACCCCGAGGGGAGGGCGACCGUAGAGACUUGGUCGGGAGGCGCCGGCCCAGCGAGGCCGCUGGGACUGUGCACUGAGGGGCGCUGACCGUUGGACGCGCGCUCCCCGCAGACCCUCGCUGAAGGAGCAGGGGGCGGCGCGCGUGCGCGGGGCGCCGGGCGGCGCGCGAGGGGGC
rnacentral:lncRNA from 1 species